AGGGAAUUUUCGGCAAUGGGGGAAACCCUGACCGAGCAACGCCGCGUGAGCGAAGAAGGCCUUCGGGUCGUAAAGCUCUGUUGUAAAGGAAGAACGGCGCAUACAGGAAAUGGUAUGCGAGUGACGGUACUUUACCAGAAAGCCACGGCUAACUACGUGCCAGCAGCCGCGGUAAUACGUAGGUGGCGAGCGUUAUCCGGAAUCAUUGGGCGUAAAGAGGGAGCAGGCGGCCGCAAGGGUCUGUGGUGAAAGACCGAAGCUAAACUUCGGUAAGCCAUGGAAACCGGGCGGCUGGAGUGCGGAAGAGGAUCGUGGAAUUCCAUGUGUAGCGGUGAAAUGCGUAGAUAUAUGGAGGAACACCAGUGGCGAAGGCGACGGUCUGGGCCGCAACUGACGCUCAUUCCCGAAAGCGUGGGGAGCAAAU
rnacentral:rRNA from 1 species